rfam:Cavia porcellus supercont2_18 genomic scaffold, whole genome shotgun sequence.
GGGGAUUUAGUUUAGUGGCAUAAGCACCUGCCUUGCAAGCAGGCGGUCACCAGUUUGAUCCCCG